CGCGUAGGCGGUCUCUAAAGUCAGGAUGUGGAAAGCCCGGGGCCUUAAACCCCGGAAGUGCAAUUUGAAACUUAGGGACUUGAGUAUGGGAGAGGGAAGUGGAAUUCCUGGUGUAGCGGUGAAAUGCGUAGAUAUCAGGAGGAACACCAGUGGCGAAGGCGACUUCCUGGACCAAUACUGACGCUGAGGCGCGAAGGCGUGGGGAGCAAACA
rnacentral:rRNA from 1 species